rnacentral:rRNA from 1 species
GACAGAGGGUGCAAACGUUGUUCGGAAUUACUGGGCGUAAAGCGUGUGUAGGCGGCUAUGUAAGUCGGAUGUGAAAGCCCCGGGCUCAACUCGGGAAGUGCACUCGAUACUGCGUAGCUUGAGUACCGGAGAGGUUGGUGGAAUUCUCGGUGUAGAGGUGAAAUUCGUAGAUAUCGAGAGGAACACCGGUGGCGAAGGCGGCCAACUGGACGAGUACUGACGCUAAGACACGAAAGCGUGGGGAGCAAACAGG